rnacentral:rRNA from 1 species
GACGAACGCUGGCGGCGUGCUUAAUACAUGCAAGUCGAACGGAAAGGCCCAGCUUGCUGGGUACUCGAGUGGCGAACGGGUGAGUAACACGUGGGUGAUCUGCCCUGGACUCUGGGAUAAGCCUGGGAAACUGGGUCUAAUACCGGAUAUGACCUUACAUCGCAUGGUGUUUGGUGGAAAGCUUUUGCGGUUCAGGAUGGGCCCGCGGCCUAUCAGCUUGUUGGUGGGGUAAUGGCCUACCAAGGCGACGACGGGUAGCCGACCUGAGAGGGUGAUCGGCCACACUGGGACUGAGACACGGCCCAGACUCCUACGGGAGGCAGCAGUGGGGAAUAUUGCACAAUGGGCGCAAGCCUGAUGCAGCGACGCCGCGUGAGGGAUGACGGCCUUCGGGUUGUAAACCUCUUUCACCAGGGACGAAGCGUGAGUGACGGUACCUGGAGAAGAAGCACCGGCCAACUACGUG